CCGGGAGUCGGGCGGACGUUCGCGUUCGCCAACCUGGUCAGGUCCGGAAGGAAGCAGCCACAACGGAUUGCUGCGGGUCGCUCGGCUCCUUUUCC
rnacentral:SRP_RNA from 1 species